rnacentral:rRNA from 1 species
UACGAGUGCCCCAAGCGUUAUCCGGAAUCAUUGGGCGUAAAGGGUGUGUAGGCGGUUGUGUUAGUCUUUCGUUAAAUUCUUCGGCUUAACCGGGGGCAUGCGAAGGAAACGGCACAACUAGAGGAUGCGAGAGGUGAAUGGAACUCAUGGAGUAGGGGUGAAAUCCGUUGAUAUCAUGGGGAACACCAAAUGCGAAGGCAAUUCACUGGCGCACUCCUGACGCUGAGACACGAAAGCGUAGGUAGCGAAUGGG